AUUGAACGCUGGCGGCAGGCCUAACACAUGCAAGUCGAGCGGAUGACGGGAGCUUGCUCCUCGAUUCAGCGGCGGACGGGUGAGUAAUGCCUAGGAAUCUGCCUGGUAGUGGGGGACAACGUUUCGAAAGGAACGCUAAUACCGCAUAUGUCCUACGGGAGAAAGCAGGGGACCUUCGGGCCUUGCGCUAUCAGAUGAGCCUAGGUCGGAUUAGCUAGUAGGUGAGGUAAUGGCUCACCUAGGCGACGAUCCGUAACUGGUCUGAGAGGAUGAUCAGUCACACUGGAACUGAGACACGGUCCAGACUCCUACGGGAGGCAGCAGUGGGGAAUAUUGGACAAUGGGCGAAAGCCUGAUCCAGCCAUGCCGCGUGCGUGAAGAAGGUCUUCGGAUUGUAAAGCACUUUAAGUUGGGAGGAAGGGCAGUAAGCUAAUACCUUGCUGUUUUGACGUUACCGACAGAAUAAGCACCGGCUAACUCUGUGCCAGCCGCCGCCGUAAAAC
rnacentral:rRNA from 1 species